ACUAAUAAACGUUUAUUGUGUACAGAUUCCUUCUAGACAAUUAAGGAUUUGUCUGAGUGUAACAGAAAGUUAGUGACAGAAACAACCCAAGAUAGUCCUGUCUCUAUGUAUGUAAUCACAUUGCAAAAUAAUACAAUCAACCCACUAGCACUUCAUCAAAUGCCUCUUGGAAUUUAUGACGAUAAGGACAAUUUCUCAUUGAAUAUUGGUUAUAGCCUUUAUUGGCUGAGUUUACUUAAAUAGUCAGUGGUGCUCACAACUUUUGAUACCACUUUGAAAAUUCUAAAUGUCAGUUGUCCAUACAUGGCCUUAGACAUGUUAUGGGUCCCUGUAAAUAUUUGCAACAUCAGUUACCAUUUUAAUGGGUGAAAUAAUGGCUUGGUUACAACUCAUUAUUUUAAAAUGGUUUUAUUCCCCCACAUGGCUUUGAAAUUCAAACCAUUCAUCAAUUUGAGGACGAGCAGUCCUAAUGUUUAGGGAUUCUGCACAGUACUGUACCAAGGAUUUGCAGAUAUUGAUACAUUCCACUAGGGCUGGGACAACACACACAUCCCAAUUCUGUUCUUUCUAGGGGUGGGGGGGGACAAUUCUUAGCUGCGUUGCGAUUCUCCAACGAUUCAAUGCAUGAUUCUGAUAAGUUAAUCUAUUUAUUUUAUUUAAGUUACUGUUUCCAGACAAGUACAAAUCAAGAAACAGUGACUGAAAGAGGAUGGGAUAAUGGACAAAAACUUGGAGUUUAGGCUAGAGUGCAGA